CGAUUACGGGAGGCAGCAGUGAGGAAUAUUGGUCAAUGGACGUAAGUCUGAACCAGCCAAGUAGCGCGCAGGAUGACGGCCCUAUGGGUUGUAAACUGCUUUUGUAUGGGGAUAAAGUCAAUCACGUGUGAUUGUUUGCAGGUACCAUACGAAUAAGGACCGGCUAAUUCCGUGCCAGCAGCCGCGGUAAUAUCG
rnacentral:rRNA from 1 species